GCGGCUAUAGCUCAGGGGACAGAGCGCCGGCCUCCGGAGCCGGGUGCGCAGGUUCGAAUCCUGCUAGCCGCA
rnacentral:tRNA from 1 species